rnacentral:rRNA from 1 species
UACGUGAGGCCCGAGCGUUAUCCGGAUUUAUUGGGCGUAAAGCGUCCGCAGGCGGUCUGACACAUCUCUGGUCAAAUCUUCUGGCCCAACUGGGAGACUGCCGGAGAGAUGGUCGGACUUGAGAUCGGGAGAGGCUGACGGAAUGGCCGGUGUAGGGGUAAAAUCCGUUAAUAUCGGCUAGAACACCAAAGGCGAAAGCAGUCAGCUGGAACGUUUCUGACGCUCAGGGACGAAAGCGUAGGGAGCGAAUGGG